rnacentral:lncRNA from 12 species
GCGCAGGCGCUCCCCCGCCCCCCCGCGGACCCGCGGACUGUUUGCGAGACCCGACCCGCGCGCGGAGCCGGGGCGUGCGGUGUAGACGCGCCUGCCGCCGCCUCCGACGCGGGUCCGCCCGCCGGCACCUGCCGCGGUCCGUGCGCUGCGCCCCCAGCGGGACCCCCGUCCCCUCCCCCCGGCCGAGGGGCGGCGCCGCGGGACCAGGUGCCGGGACCGACUCGCCCUGGGCCCGCGGUUGUCGUCGCGGUGGGGCCGCGGGGCUCCAGCUGCAGGGCCCGGGGGGGGGGGUCCCGGGGACCCAGGGAGUCCGGGGCCGUGGUGCGCUCGGCGAGGCGAAGCUAGACGACGAGCCCCUGAGCCGCGGCCUCCCGUCUACUGCUUGCCAACAAUCCGGGGUCCCGCUUUGCCAGGUUUUGUCCGCCUGCUCAUCCGAGGUCAUCGAGUAACCCCGGGUCAACAGGUAAUGGUGACAUGGAGAAGAACUACCACAUGCAGGACGGAGGAAGAGAGAGAUACCGGAUACACGUCCAAGGAGCAGGACUCCGAGCGGCGGGGGCAGGAGGAAGCGUGUUGGCGAAGGCGGGCCGCUGUGCACCCCCUGCAGGGAGUUGCCAGUGCACCUGGCCCAGGUCAUCAUAACAUCAACUGAUGCUCCUGGAUAAUUGAAUGAACGAUGCCGAACGUAAGACUGUGAUUGGUUUGUGUGAUUUCAUAAAUGCACAAAAGACACAUGAACUUACUCAGUGAUUUUUACUUUUGUCAAGGUGAAUAUAAAAACAAAUUGGACUUAUAUUGCUUUUUAAUGAAACACCUCUAAUGCUAGCGGAAGAUGGAUGCACAGUUAUCAAAUGCGCUUUGGCGAUGAUAUUUAAGGAAACAGGUGUGUGACCUGAAUAGCUAUAGGUGGUCUGUUUUCUGGUUGAGAAUUGAUUUGUGCAUUUGACCUGAAAGGAAGAUAUUAACUCUUUCAAGUCACAGAUGAAAUUGUUCUUGCAUUGAGUAGACAUAUUUUGGGGAGCGCCCUCUCUGGGCUAGGCACUAUUCUGAGUAGAUAAGAGCAAUAAAAGUCCCCGAGGUGAUGCGUAUGAAACA